GAUGAACGCUGGCGGCGUGCCUAAUACAUGCAAGUCGAGCGAACGGACGAGAAGCUUGCUUCUCUGAUGUUAGCGGCGGACGGGUGAGUAACACGUGGAUAACCUACCUAUAAGACUGGGAUAACUUCGGGAAACCGUAGCUAAUACCGGAUAAUAUUUUGAACCGCAUGGUUCAAAAGUGAAAGACGGUCUUGCUGUCACUUAUAGAUGGAUCCGCGCUGCAUUAGCUAGUUGGUAAGGUAACGGCUUACCAAGGCAACGAUGCAUAGCCGACCUGAGAGGGUGGUCGGCCACACUGGAACUGAGACACGGUCCAGACUCCUACGGGAGGCAGCAGUAGGGAAUCUUCCGCGAUGGGCGAAAGCCUGACGGUGCAACGCCGCGUGAGUGAUGAAGGUCUUCGGAUCGUAAAACUCUGUUAUUAGGGAAGAACAUAUGUGUAAGUAACUGUGCACAUCUUGACGGUACCUAAUCAGAAAGCCACGGCUAACUACGUG
rnacentral:rRNA from 1 species